GCUCGCGCCGGGCCUGCAUCAGAUAACCAUAGAGAACGACCUAGAGAGAUAGCCAAGUCCUCAGUCUUGGAGUGACGGAUUCACAACGCGCUCUCGCCAUCUCGCGGUCGGAAGAGCGUGCUGCGCUUGAAGCUCUCCUUGGAGGCAGAGAGAGUAGCCUUCCAGUGCCUAGAGCGUCCUCAGUCUCUAGAUGAGGACACUUCCGGUAACGGCCCGGCUAGGAGGCCCCGCCCAGGACGGGCAGGGAGGCAGUUGGGAGCCGAAUGGGGUGCAGGUGCCUAAAAUGGGGGAGGAGAGGGAUCUGUGAGGGACAGAAAUGGAGUCCGUGAUAAGAAGGGGAGGGGAAGGGAGGAGUCAGAGAGGGGGAGGGGGAAAGUCGGGGAGAGGAGGGGGAAGGAUCGGUGAGGGGACAGAGAGGGUCGGAGGAGCGGAGGGGAGUUAGGGGGGAGGGGUUUAUGAGGUGGGGUCGGUGAGGGGGAGGGGAGGAGAGCGGAGCACCGGGGAGUGGGGAGUGGGGUGACGUCAGAGUGCCUGGGGGGUGUUUGGAGGUCGGGUCGGGACUGGGAUCCUGGAUGUCUGCUGACGGUUUUCAGGUGGCUUGGGUUAAGACCAAUUUAUAGAGCUAGUGUUAAUGUGCUUCAGCCGGACCUGCGUGGGGGGGGAAGCCCUUUAGAACCGCCCUAGGGGUCGGAGAGGGCGAUCCAACCAACACUUAUUAAGCACCUGCUGUGUGUCUAUGCUUGGGGGUGGGUACCUGGAAGCUCAGGGUGCCUCCCAGACAGGGCAGAGGGAUGGCACCAGACCUCCUGCCAUGGAGGGAGGGACGCUGGCAGUUUGGAGUGAGAACCAGCCCGGGGACGGCUGAGCUUUUGUCCUAGAAUCCAGAGUUAUUGGAAAUGUUGGGGCCCGAAAUGUGGCGGGGGCGCCCCAGCUUUGGGAGGUGGGAGACUACCCAGAUUGAGGGACUAUGCUGGCCUGGGCUGGGAGGAGUGGAUCACCGACCCCCUGGGGUACCUAUCAGAGCACCCUCCCCCGCACCGGAGCGCCCCUCCCCCUGAGCAACCCCCCCCCCCCCCCCAGACGCCUAUCAGAGGUGCAGGGUCACCUCCCACCGCAACUGGUCGGGGAGCCCACAGAAGCAAGGCCUUAGAUUAGGUGGACUUGAAGGCCUUCUCACCCCUGAGAUCCCUGGAGGACAGAGGUCCUCAGUUUCAGCUUUUCUACAUACUUUCCUUCCAACAGUCUUGGGUAGGUGGAUGGUUCCAAAUAUCUUAUACCCACAUUUUACUGAUAAGUGAAUGCUUCCAGCACGGGUUGACCACAGGUUAGUCAUAAGAUUCAGUGUCUGGCACAUAGUAGGUUUGCAUUAGGUAGUAGAGUGGAUCUAGCUGGCCCUAGAGUCAGGAAGAGAUGAGUUCAAAUCCAACCCCACACACACUUAACCCCUACAUGAACUUUGGGCAAGUGAACUUAACCUCAGUCUGCCUCAAUUUUCUUCAAAUAUAACAUAGGAAUAUUUAAUAUUUUUCCUCAGUUACAUUCAAAAUAAAUUUUUUUGAAUUCUUUUUAAAAAAUUUUGAGUUCUAGGUUCUCUCCCUUAUCCCCACCCACAAUUAGAAACCAAUGAAGUUAUGUAAAAUUUCCAUAAAAGUCAUGUUGUGAAAGAAAACAUAGAUUUCCCACCCCAGUGAAAAUAAAAACCCUCAAGAAAAGUUAAGCUUAAAAAGGAGUUAGAGAGUGUUUCAAUCUGAAUUCAGACACAAUCAGUUCCUUCUCUGAGUAUGGAUAGGAUUUUUCAUCACUAGUCCUUCAGAGUAGUCAUGGAUAAUUGUACUAGUGAGUUUAGCAAAGUUGGUCAUCCCAAAACAUUGCUAUUACUUUGUAUAUAGUACAUUUCACUUUGUUUGAGUUCAUGGAGGACUUAAUAGGUUUGUUUGUUUUUUUCUUUCUGAGAGCAUCUUGCUCAUCAUCGCCCAUAGAAAAAUAAUAUUCCAUCGCAAACACAUGUCACAGUUUAUUGAGCUCUUCCCCAAUUGAUGGGCAUCUCCUCAAUUUCCAAAUUUCCCCCCCAAGAUGAGAGCUGCUAUGAAAAAUUAGGAAUAAGAAUAAUACCUUCCUCAUAAGGUUGUUUUGAAAAAUAAGAUAAUAGUUGUAAAAGAGUUAGUACAACGAUUGGCAAUAAUUUAUGUGUACUUAGUGCUUAAUUAAUAUAUCUUUUCUUCCCGUUCUCUUUCUCCUUUUAUCUGAGCCCAUUAGGAGUUCAUGGUCCAUCUGGACAAACCUAACAUGCUGAGAUGUUUUGUCCAAAUACAAAAAAGAACAAUUUUAUACAGUUUAUACAAGUCUGGGUACCACUUGAGGGAACAUUGAAUUAUGACUAGAUGACAGCAGCCAGGGUCAAAGGCCUUGAAGUCAUGAAAAGAUUCAUUGAAGAACCUGAAGAUGUUUGACCUGAAGGAGAGAAGUUUAGGUACCAGGGAUGGGGGAAGGUACCAAGGCUGUCUUCAAGUACUUGAGGGGAUGCCACGUGGAAGAGGGUGUGGAUUUGUUUUCUUUGGCCAAAAAGGCCAUAACUAAGUACAUUGGAUGGAAGUGAAUAAUUAAAGCUGCCCAUGAGUAGACUGCACCGCUUCAGCAGGUCUGAAGACAGAGACCAAAUGAUCACUUCUCUGGUGGAUUGGAAUAAAAUUCUUGGCUCCACAUGAAAUCCUGAAUUACACAUAAGUUUUGGGAUACCCAUAAAGCUGUGUUGGUGGGCGGCAGGUGAAAGGGAUGUCAGCCCCAAAAGAAAGCAAGAACGCAAGUAAGUAAAUCACAGCAUAGUGUACUAGAGUUGUUGGAAUUACUUAAUUGGCAAAGAACUCUUCAAAUGUGUUUCACGAAUGAUGGUAUUGUCCUCCCCCUUCCCAUGCUAUGCCCGAGUCUUGAAACAACAUGGCAGAAAGCACUCCAUUUGCUAUUGGCUAAGGUCAUCAGCCCAUCAUAGGCUUAGGGAGGACAAUGAGGUCAAACUGGGGCCACCAUGGAGAAUUCUGCUUAGUUGGCCCAAAGUUGGAAAUAAGCUUCUGCCUCAUCCCAGCCAGGCUACUUCUCCAGUUUUUGUCACCUAGCGACUUACUCCAAUAGCCGGCACCUAUCACUUCUAGGAUCGAAUACAGAAUCAAAGCUCUUCAUAAACUAGGCCCCCUUCCCCUGUCUUUUCAGUAGUCUUCAUACACCUUAUUUCCCAUUUCACACCCAUCCAUCCAGUGAUCCCCACUUCUUGGUUGUUCCUCCAAGAAGACCCUCCACUCUCACCUGUGGGUAUUUUCUUUGUCCUUCCACACCUUUCAAAACAUGACUUUUAUGGAAAUGUUUUACAUAAGAGUAACAUACUCUUCCUGCAUAUGGUUUGUACGUAUUUAUUUGCUUGUCAUGUCCCCCAUUAGAUUGUGAGCCCCUUGAGAUUAGGUACUGGCUUUUGCCUCUUUUUUGUAUUCUCAGCCCUUUUCGUUGUAUCUGUUUCAUAGUAGGUGCCUAAUAAACAUUUAUUGAUUGAUUAAUUGUA